rnacentral:rRNA from 1 species
ACUCCUACGGGAGGCAGCAGUGGGGAAUUUUGGACAAUGGGGGCAACCCUGAUCCAGCCAUGCCGCGUGAGUGAAGAAGGCCUUCGGGUUGUAAAGCUCUUUCGGCCGGGAAGAAAUCGUGGUCUCUAACAUAGGCCAUGGAUGACGGUACCGGACUAAGAAGCACCGGCUAACUACGUGCCAGCAGCCGCGGUAAUACGUAGGGUGCGAGCGUUAAUCGGAAUUACUGGGCGUAAAGCGUGCGCAGGCGGUUUUGUAAGACGGAUGUGAAAUCCCCGGGCUCAACCUGGGAACUGCGUUUGUGACUGCAAGGCUAGAGUACGGCAGAGGGGGGUGGAAUUCCACGUGUAGCAGUGAAAUGCGUAGAGAUGUGGAGGAACACCGAUGGCGAAGGCAGCCCCCUGGGCCUGUACUGACGCUCAUGCACGAAAGCGUGGGGAGCAAACAGGAUUAGAUACCCUGGUAGUC